AACCCGGUAGCUCAGUUGGUUAGAGCAUUGUACUUAUAAUGCAAUGGUCGCGAGUUCGAUUCUCGCUCGGGUUA
rnacentral:tRNA from 1 species